UGGGUAGUCGUGCCAGUCUAACCUCCAAACUCCCUUCACUAAAAGCUUCUUAUCUUCUCUUUUGUUCUCAGUUGUGAAUAAAUUAAAAGCGAGAAUUUGAAUGUUCAUGUAAGGGUAUAGCACCACUCUAAAGGGUUUGACCAUAGUCCCCCUCUUCUCUUUAAAAGUGUCUGUUCUUUCUGUUCUUUCUGUUCACUGCAGCAACACUUUACCUUCAAACACUGAGAAGGAAACAGAAGAAGUGGACGACUUCAGAGCAUCCAUCAGACAUCGUUCUCCAAAGUAUUGUGGGACAAACUGACUGUGGGCGACAACAAUGAAGAUGGCUGGAUUGUGGUGGAUGACUGUGAUGCUGUUGCUCCUGUCUGCUGGAAGUUUGGCUACUAUCAA